rnacentral:rRNA from 1 species
UACGAAGGGUCCAAGCGUUAUCCGGAUUUAUUGGGUUUAAAGGGUGCGUAGGCGGUUUGUCGCGUCGGAUGUGAAAACCCAGGGCUCAACCCUGGGCCUGCAUUCGAUACGGGCAGACUAGAGUAUGGCAGGGGAGACUGGAAUUCCUGGUGUAGCGGUGAAAUGCGCAGAUAUCAGGAGGAACACCGGUGGCGAAGGCGGGUCUCUGGGCCAAAACUGACGCUGAGGAGCGAAAGCGUGGGGAGCGAACAGG